rnacentral:rRNA from 1 species
ACUGAAAAUCUUCGGAAUUGUAGUCUGUCGAAGUGAAAUCAUAAUAUACCAAUUUGAUCAAWUCUUUAAGAAAAUUGUACCAUGGAGGGUGAUAGUCCCGUUUAUAUCAAAUUGAUUCAAAUACGAUUACUUUCAAUGAGUCGAGUUGCUUGGGAUUGCAGCUCUAAGUGGGUGGUAAAUUCCAUCUAAAGCUAAAUAUUGGUGGGAGACCGAUAGCGAACAAGUACCGUGAGGGAAAGAUGCAAAGAACUUUGAAAAGAGAGUUAAAGAGUACCUGAAAUUGCUGAAAUGGAACCGAUGGGAAAUAGUGUUAAUAUAUAACUAUUUUAUAUAAUUUACAUGUAAAUUGUAUGUGAUAUUAUAUAUAAGUUAAACUUUCUUUUUAUAAGUAAGAAAAGUAUAUAAUAUCUGUUAUUUGAGAUUAUAUUUGGACUAUUAUUUAUAAAAGAGACUAUAACAAAAUAUUUCUUAUCAACCCGUCUUGAAACACGGACCAAGGAGUCUAACAUGUGUGCAAGUACUUUAGGUUAAAACCUAUUGUGCGUAAUUAAUGUGAAGAUUACUUUUAUUAGUAAUUAAGAUAAGAUUUUUUUUGUUUACAGAAAUUUUCAUUAUCGACCGACCAUAAUCCUAUGGGUGAAAGGUUUGAGUGUGAGCAUACAUGUUGGGACCCGAAAGAUGGUGAACUAUGCCUGAGUAGGAUGAAGCCAGGGGAAACUCUGGUGGAGGUCCGUAGCGAUUCU